rnacentral:rRNA from 1 species
GACGAACGCUGGCGGCGUGCUUAACACAUGCAAGUCGAACGAAGUGGCGAACGGGUGAGUAACGCGUAAUCAACCUGCCCUUCAGAGGGGGACAACAGUUGGAAACGACUGCUAAUACCGCAUACUGCAGAGGGGGAUUGCGUCUGAUUAGCUAGUUGGAGGGGUAACGGCACACCAAGGCGAUGAUCAGUAGGCGGUCUGAGAGGAUGAACGGCCACAUGGGGACAGAGACACGGCCCAGACUCCUACGGGAGGCAGCAGUGGGGAAUCUUACGAAAUGGACGAAAGUCUGACGGAGCAACGCGGCGUGAGUGAUGACGGCCUUCGGGUGGGAAAGCUCUGUUAAUCGGGACGCGGUACCGGAAUAGAAAGCCACGGCUAACUACGUGCCAGCAGCCGCGGUAAUUC